UGGUUCCUACGGGACGCAGCAGUGAGGAAUAUUGGUCAAUGGGAGAGAUCCUGAACCAGCCACGCCGCGUGAGGGAAGACGGCCCUAUGGGUUGUAAACCUCUUUUGUCGGAGAACAAAACCCGGGACGUGUCCCGGACUGCGUGUAUCCGAAGAAAAAGCAUCGGCUAACUCCGUGCCAGCAGCCGCGGUAAUACGGAGGAUGCGAGCGUUAUCCGGAUUUAUCGGGUUUAAAGGGUGCGUAGGCGGGAUGCCAAGUCAGCGGUCAAAUACGGGGGCUCAACCUGCGUCCGCCGUUGAA
rnacentral:rRNA from 1 species